CCUCCGGGAGCCCAGGUAUCAGAUACACCCCCAAAAUAAAGAGCCUUGAAUACUUGAAGAAAAACACCUAUACCUAACAAGAUUAAGUGAAUACCCAAAAUUGUGGUCAUUUUCUUUUUAUCUUUCCA
rnacentral:antisense_RNA from 1 species